GUGGGGAAUAUUGGACAAUGGGCGAAAGCCUGAUCCAGCCAUGCCGCGUGUGUGAAGAAGGUCUUCGGAUUGUAAACUUCUGUUAAGUGGGAAGAAAGGGCUGCUUUUAAUAGAAGCAGUUAAUGACGGUACCAUUAAAGAAAGCACCGGCUAAACUCGUGCCAGCAGCCGCGGUAAUACGUAGGGUGCAAGCGUUAAUCGGAAUUACUGGGCGUAAAGCGCGCGUAGGUGGUUUUGUAAGUUGGAGGUGAAAUCCCCGGGCUCAACCUGGGAACUGCCUCCAAAACUGCAUGACUAGAGUACGGUAGAGGGUAGUGGAAUUUCCUGUGUAGCGGUGAAAUGCGUAGAUAUAGGAAGGAACACCAGUGGCGAAGGCGACUACCUGGACUGAUACUGACACUGAGGUGCGAAAGCGUGGGGAGCAAACAGGAUUAGAAACCCUUGUAGUCC
rnacentral:rRNA from 1 species